ACCAGACCUUUGAAUAGAACAAGAAAAUUAAUCAGAUUAGAAAAUGACGAUUUUAAAACUAAGGCUAUAAAAUGAAAUAAUUAAAAGAGAUUUUUCAGCACAAAUUCAAAGAAGUUGAAACAAAAACGAUGGAAAGAAUUAUAACGAUAUUAAAAAUGACGUGAUUCAUUGAUAUUAUUUUUGUCGCAAUUAAAAAAACUCAAACACGAAUUGAAAAUUCCAUUUUGUUUUUUUUUCUCUUUUUCAAUGAAAACGCUACAGGCACAUUCAUAACGUUCAGUUUAUUGGCAUUGCUAUGUUGCUUGUUUUGUAUACGUAUUUACGCGUGAUCAUUGUGAAGAAACAUUAACAUGUUUCGGCCGGUUUCUGUUUACUCGGUCUCUCUAGCUAAAAUCAUUUCACUUGCGAUAUUUGGAUACGCUGACAAAGAGGAAUUCGACUCGGACACCGAAUCGCUCAAACAAUCCAAAAAUAAAACUUUUCGUAAUAAUGCGGGGGAGAGGCUCUUUGCAUAUACUUGCUUACGAUGGUUGUUUUUCUAUUUUAAACACACGUUGUAAAGCGAUACGGAUUUUUCACCGAUUACUCAUUUAUCCAAAGUCGCACAAAAAUAUUAUGGUACGUAACAUUAGCUCAUACGCAACGCGUUUUUUCUUCUUUUUUUUUCACAACGACAUUGGAUGCUAUUUUUAAGUAAAUUUUCAGUCAGUAAAAUCGUUUCGUUUCGAAAUAUGGCACAUUGCAAUUCCAAAUCGCGAAUGGCCACUAAAGAAGUAACUGAUCUAAAUUUAAACGCUUUUCUGAUUCAAUCGAAUGAAAUACAGAACCAACAACGAGUGACGAUUUACAGUAAAGCUGCCCAAAAAUGGGCGCCCUCGCGAUUAAAAUCAAACGAAAUAUUUGUUAUUUAUAAAUAUCUACUUUCCACUGGUGUUAUUUUUAAAUUGCUCACAUUUGUAAGGUCUUACUGUAUUUGUUCGUUUGAAAAAAUGUACAACAGCUGGCCCCAAAUUUUUCACACUGUUUUCACUUGAUUGCUGAAUCAUCUCCAGAUAAUUGUUUUCAUUGGUCAUGUUUGGGAUCACCCGACAUCAUUUUAUUGCUGUGUGAAUGUUUGCCCACUUACGAGAACGAUCAACGUUCACCAAAUGAACAUGCGCAUAUUCACAUCACUCAUGUUAACGAAAGAUAAAUGGGAAAUUCGACUAAAUCGUAAACAUUUUCAAACGAGAGAAAAUUGAAAUUCAAUGUGAAUAAAAAAGAAGAAUUAUUUCAAACUCGGCAAAAUUUUAUUAGCAACUUGGUGCGCAAAGGUUUUGCAGGUUUUAAGAUUGAUUUGUUUUGAUUCGUAAAUUAACAUUUACAUUAAGAUGAAAGGAUUGCAUUCAUUUCACAGAGAAUUCAACGUUUGAGCGUGGUGAAUAUUUGGUUGGUUAUUUAUGGUGUCGACCAAAAACUGAUUUUCUACUUUCGAAACUGAAAUCAAAAUGGUGUAAGAGAAUUCCAGAGCAAGAAUUGAAGUGUAGUUGCAUUGCUGAAAAUUGUACAAAUUGCGUAGUAGUAUACCAAUACAACUGUGCCAUCGGUCUCCGUUCUCUGGAACGCAGUGGCAUUGAUCAUGGGCAAACAAGCGGAAAGAAUGCACAAACGAGACACGACCCCAACCAGCCGAUAAAACAAUACGGGAAAAUUAAGCAAACCUGUGCAAGGAAUCAAAAAAGGGAUUUCGUUCAUUUACAAGAUAAAUACACGGAGAGAUCUCCCUGCGGAGAUGUUUAUUUAUUUAUUUUUCAUCUCCUUUUCCUCCUGGUACUUCGCCACUUUUCUCUUUAUUGUGUGAUUUUCUUAAUGUGGCCCGUUUUCUCCCUCUCUCUCUCUCUCUCUCUCUCGCUUUCUGGCAUUUGCCCUGGCUUCACUUGGCUUGGCUUGGCUUUACUCUAUUUUGUUUGCUUUUUGAAUUACUUCAAGCAUUGUGUUUUUUAUUUGCAUUCUCUUUGCUCUUCUGCUCUGACAAUCCAUGUACAAUUUUCUCGGUGCCGAUGUGAAACCAGGCGCGCAAGUGCUUUAAUUUUUCCAAAUACGCUAUACCUAAUCCCCAAUAACAUUUAAAUUGACAAACCAUUGUCAACCGCAGCACUCUUUCUAUGCGCGCAUCGACAAAUUCGGAAUUAAAAUGCCGCUUCUCGUGCUCCGCACAGUUCACAUUCUCGUUAUGACAUCAUGGAGUCUGAUUGCCGUUCGGUGUGUUCUAUUCCCACCAAUCAUUCAGAUCAGCGUUCAAAUGCUUCAAAUGAAAAUCAUUCAAUUCAGUCGUGAUUGACCUCAAAAUAGCAUGCGUUUCAUCGUGUGCGUACGCCGUCAACACGAACUUUGAGUUGCAAUUUCAAAUCCGUUCAGUUUUGUUCACAUGACAAAUGGCACAUUCAUGGUGUCCUCUCUUUGCCCACGAGCUCACCGUUCGACGGAAAAUGGCUGGUGAGGCAAAGUUGAAGUAAUUAUAAUAUACAAAAUGAGAUGUUAAGCAAUAUCAUGAAUUUUAGCAAGCAACCCGUGUGAAAAAUUUGUGACUGACUAGCCAGCCGUCUAAUUUCGGACUUUUUGGCUGACUAUCAGUAAUUAAAAGUGAUGAACAAAAUAUUCGACUGUAGUCAACUUCAGUUUAGUCAUCUAGUAGCCAAAAAGUCCGAAAUUAGACGGCUGGCUGAAAGAAUAACUAAAAGUGAUUAUUUCUACACAACAUUCUUGAAUUCAAUCAACUUAGCCAGUUUUAGUUAUUUGCAGCUACAUACAACUGAGUGACUGUCAGUCACUUUAUUUGCACACGGGAAACCAUUUUCAAAGGUUUUUUUUUGCCAAAACUUUCCAUCCUAUCGAGAUGGUAUAGUCUCCCAUUUGGCGCCUUAUUUACAUCGGGUGGGAAAUUAGCCAAAAGUUAUGCAUGGGAAAUUAGCUCAACGAUAAUUUCAGCAGUAUUUAAUCAAUCAUACAACCAAACAAUUUUUGGUCGCACUCGCAUUCGCUUCGCUUUUUUCAUGCAAAAUGCAAAUGUUUCACUGUCAAACUGUUUUUUUUUCUAUCUUAGUAUAUUAUUUGCUAAAAGAUUGCGAAUGGAAUGGAAACGCGGACGCUAGCGUAUUUUACGCACGUGCACCAGCCAGUAACGGAGUGUGUGUGUGAGAGAGAGAGAGAGAGAGAGAGAGCGGUGCACAAACAAAAAUAUGAAUUCUAUUGACCGUAAAAAGGGUUGUACAUUGAUUAGUUAGUCCGAGAGCUGGAAAUCGAAGCAAAUGCUUGCAAACAAUAAUGGAGGCGCAUCAUCGUCCAAUAGCGACAUAAACACACAAUGAAAACGCCAAAAGAAAAAUGGAAAGAAACCGAACCCAUUCCGGAUUCGUUGAUGCUAAGCAAUUUGGUUUGUGUUUAACAACACACAGACAACGGCAAAUAAAUAACAAUUGGCUUGAUGUAUACAUAGAAAACCAUCGAGAAACAUUUCGUCAACUCAAAUUCCAUCGCAUCGUGAAAACUCCAAACAGAAUGAAUAUUCCCCAAUUUGUUCACUCACGUAAUUUAAAUUCAAGACAAUUUCUCUGAGCGCAUGAAUCAAACCAAAGAAGAAGAAGAAAGACAACGUUGAAUUUAUUAAAUUGCCAAUGGUUAAAUGUAUCGAUGUGUUUCUAUUUCAAGACUUUCUCUCACUGAACCCACUGGUUCGUUUUUGUAUCCGUAAUCAUUUUAACCACAUGAUCAUUUGUUGCCGUUGUUAUGUGACGCUUUGUGGUUUUUUGCCAUUAGUUCAAAGAAUGGAGAGCGAGUAAAACUGACACAAAAUUGAUUUUAGUUUUGCAACAAUGCGUUUCUUUUUGGUUGUUGCUGUUUUUUGAGAUUUUUAAUUAGAUUUACGGAGAUUGUAAUCAAGAGUUGUUUUGGUUUAUAUAGAAAACGAAUUUGCCGAAAAGUUCCCAAUUUCAACGACGAAAUGGAAUGAUUGUUGAGCGAAUGAGAUGUCAUUCCGUUUUUUUUCUACUCCGAAUGUUUGUCUGCACAAUUUCUGAACGAAAGUGCAGCAUUGAAAUUGUGCAAUCCCAAUAAAAUUUCAAACCAUUCAUUCAUUUGAGAUUGGCUCAUCCAAAUACAGAACCGAAAAUCCAAUUCUACAAACAACAAACUAUGUCAAAUGAGUGAAUCAACUGAUUUCAUUUCUAUUUUGGAUUCAAGACUCUUCUCCACUUCCAACUACUAGAAUCACUUUGUGAAAUCAGAAUGGAGAUAAUUCGUUGGAAUGGAAGGGGGUCAUUGGCGUGUGCACAUACACUAAUUUAAGCAAUACUCUUUUCGAUUGCUGCUUUUAAUCACGUAUUGGAUGAAAAUCAGAGGCAAAACCGAAAAAGAUUUAACGAUGCUGUGUGGAAGGGCAAGCAAUAAUGAACCGAACGAAAGAGAAAUCACACAACAACAUACGUGCACAUCAAAGUGCAAAGGAAAUGAACAAAUGAAUACUUGCUGUUUAUGAUUGUUCUCCUUAUCUGGAGGCCAAAAAGACACACAAUCCCAACACAGCUCUUCUAUUUACAAAGACUUGAUAGUUGCCGCUCAAAUUGACUGUUUAAGGCUCACCGAGAGAAUUACCGGCCUCAUGAGACAGUGGGGGAAAUGGAAAAUUGAACAUGUCCAUUUGCGUUCAGCAUAAAGUAUCUUCAAGACCUGUCAAAUGUUCGGCUACUUUAAAAUAUCGCUUAGCAAUUAAAUGUUGAUUAGAUGAUGCAGCACAUAUAAUGGACAUUUGUGCAUAAAAUGGUUUGGCCAAGAAAUUGCAAUAGCAGCUCUCUCUCUCUCUCUCUCUCUCUCUCUCCCUCUUUCACUCUGCAUCACUCUGCGUGUAUGUCUAUCUAAAUGACUGAACAUAUUAAAAUCAUUCGUAGCAGUUUGGCCCUAAUGUUUAUUUAAUGAAAUUAUCCAAAAGUAAAUUUAAUAUGUGCAUCCAAUUCUCAGAGUAACAUUUAUACCACAAAUAAUUUCGAAACGAUGUAGUCACUUUUCGAUGUCGAACGGAUCAUCGAUUUAAAUCAGAGAGUGUUAUGAGCUGAUGUCAGCAGCACAUAGUGACGUCAGCUGCUGACGAGUAUGCGUUGCGUUAUUGUAACGUAUACACCGUACAAAAUUCAUAUACCACUUCAGAUUUGCCAAGGAGGAUCAGGACUUGGCAAAUCUGGAGGGGAAUAUGAAUUUUCUACUGUGGAUGCAUUACAACACCGCAACAUAUACUCGUCAGCAGCUGACGUCAAUAAGUGCUGCUGACAUCAGCUCAUAGCACGCUCUGAUUUAAAUUGACUCACUUCGAUUUUGAGCACAUGCAAUUCUAUAACAUACAGAAAUGAGCCAUUGUCAAUAGUCCACAGCUUAGGCAAUAUUGCUCAUUUUACCAGAAAGAAAAAUAAAAUCACCACCCCGUUGCGCCGAAAAUGGCAAGGUUUUUACGAACAAGUGUGUGGUAUGAAGUUUGCCUAUUGGCUGUGUGCUACUGUUACUGCACACACAACAUGAAAUAGAGAGGCAGCGUGUGUGUGUGUAACGUAGUAGCUUCAGUGCGCAGUUUUAAUGUACGCAUAAAACGUAAAAGUACUACAUUUCGUUCGCUCGUUUGGAUGAAUUCAGAAAAUGAGAAAACCAUAUGAGGUUUUGUGUAUAGUUAAUAAUAUACUACUUGUUUAACAAUUUAAUUCAAUUUACACGAUUAAUCACGAACAAAAGCGCACCAGAACUAGGAUGCACAAUCAAUGCGUAUUAAUGGAUGCGAGACAGAGAGGCAGUGAGGAAGAGAGCCAGAGUGAGAGAGCAACAUAAGAGAGAAAGUGAAGUCUCGGUGUAUAAUGUUGGAAUGAAUCAAUCGAAUUGCUGGAGAUUUUGUUCGGGUGGCUCGCCCUCGACCAACGUCAACUAUUCGGAAUCAGCAGAGAAUAAUUUUUCAAAGUUAUUUGAAAUACCAUGGAGGGUGACUCCAUGAUUUUUUCCCUACUUCUUCUUCUCCUUUUUAGCACUACAUGAAAUGUAGAGCUACUAAUCUGCUUAUAUUCUUUUUUCUUAAUACUUUUUGAGUGAUGAAACGAAUUAUGGUGAAUUUGAAUCUUAUGCUCAUAUUUUUAAUUUUUAUUUAAUUUAAAACAGGUGCAGUAACGACAAAUAAGUGCACAAUAUCUCAAAGCGCCAAUCAAAUUUUUAUUAUCAAAUGUUGUUUAAAAAUUACAUUAAUUUUUCGUAUAACAUUUUCUGAGUCUUGAACAGAAUUAAAGUGAUUUUAGAUUCUAUGCUCAUAUUAUUUAUUUAAUUUAAACCAAAGGCAGUAUAUUUCAAAAAAGAAAUUAAAUCAAGAUCUUGUAAUUCAUUUUGCAAAUAAAUAUAUUACUUCAAAGUUACUUUGAUGAAAUACAUUUCAUGUAGUGCGCCAAAAAAUAGUUUGUUGUGAAACAACAAAAUAGAUUAAGUAACUAAAAACUCAAGAACGCAGAGCGGAGCGAAGUUAACAAAUGAGCACAAUACUCAGAAUACUCAGCUCAAACAUUCUAAAUUUUAUCGCACAGAUCACUCGCCAUUUAUAAUUUUUGGCUCUUCAAAUAAUAAAUGAUGUAAUACACUUGAUCAAUACAUCAAGCCAUUUGCCGAACAGUUUUUCUCUCUCUUUCUCUCAUUUCCUUUGAAUGUGAAACGCUUGGAUUGACUCCUGCUGCCGUGUUUCUCAAAUGGGUUACUAGGCAAAAGCAAAACAACAAACACACAUUCUGCGGUUCUUGACUUCUCCCAUUUUUUAUUCAACUGGAAAAAGUUUUGAUAGCCUUAAACAAGAGCAACUUCAAAUUAACAGGUUCGUUUUUUUUUUGUUUCAACAUAUUUGAACCGGAACGGUGGUACGGUAAUUGAAGCGAAACCAUCACUUCAUUUUGAAUGUUUGCAGUCGAUUUAAUUUCAAAAAUAUUAUAGUUUUUACAAAUGUAAUGGAUCUGUCAUAUUUUAAAUAAAAUGUUUUUUGUAUCGUG